UAUGUGUGCGUGUAUAUAUACACAAGCAAAACUGAAAAAUUUCGGGGGGGGUUUGAACCCCCCCCAACCCCCCCCUUGGCUACGCCCCUGGUAACUGGCAGGAACUAGUCCACGAAGUGUAGAACAAAUCAUUUGCACCUAUCUUGGCAAUGGAUGCACCGAUGCUGUAGUCUCACAGAUAAUUUAUCCACCAAUGUACGUACGGGCAUUUUUCCCUUUGUUGGUUUUCUAUGCACUACAUUCUUUGAAUUCCUUUUCUCAAAAGUUUCUUACUUAUUCACGUGUUGGGCCAUUUUAAAAAUGCAGAAGCCUUUUCAAUGUAACUGCACUGCCACUGCUAAUGCAAACCCAUUCAUGACAAAUUUGCAGUGAAAUUCAUUCAAGUGUUUGUAUGUUAAAAUUGCAAACAUAAUUUAAUUACCACAGUGAAUUUUUUGUAGGACCUCAGUGAUAGAAUGUAGUAGCUAAGGAAAUGCAUUACACUAUCAUUUUGCAAAAAUGCAUUGGAACAUUUUAGCUAGCUGUUACUGUUCAGUGAGCAAUUUUUCACUCAUUCCAUGGGUAAUUAAAAGUGAGUUUUCCAUUUCAGUGAAAUUAGUACCAUAAUUGCAAGGGACAAAUCCAUUUGUUAAGCAGGAGUACAUUAGCUACAAGAAUAUUCUGAGGGUAUAUUCAAAAGUGUGUUGUCGAUCUGUCUCUCUCAGUAAGCGCACAUAGAAAGUGCACUAUCGCAACAUUUGAAACACUGCAAGAAAGAUGUCACCUUUUGACUACUAGACUAGAAGCACAACAUGAGUAACAGUGUGUGAUUUUAAAUCUGUUGACAAUUUUUUGCUCUGCUUUUUCUUGUGGAGAGUGCUUGUUCAGCUGCUGAUAUUUGCUGCAAAUGGUUCAGCCGGAUAGUUCUUAAUUGCACUGCGUGUUCGCUAUAAAACAUUGUGCAGAAAACAUUUUCAGAUAGUGAACAUGGCUGCAGAGAAUCUCACUGAUGACAUUUGCCUGUCUUUUCUUUUUUUUUUUUUAAUUUCUGACAUGACUGAGUGUCCCAGGGGGACCUUGCAUUGUUCUCUUGAGUGUGUUGAGAGAUUAUAAUUUCAUCGUGUUGAUUUGAUCCUAUUAUCACUCAGCAUAGGCUCUUUUUUUUUUCGUCAUUCACAAUACGUGAACGUCUGUAUUUCCUUCCUGAGCCUGGCCUUUCUUUGUUCACAUGUGUUAGCUGAACCGUGUGCUUACUGUUGUAGAUUCAUGUACUUUUAGCUUCCUGUGCAAUGUCGCUAUGUUGUAAUUUGUACAAUCUGUACAACAUUUACUUCAUUACAUUGUUUGCAACAUUUUUGUAUUGCGUUAACAAUAAGACUGUUUACUUGAAAAGAAUCGUCCGUUCAGUCAUUUGAAGUCAACGGUGUGUGCGGAGUUGGGAGUCGGGACUGGAUGGAAAUGGCAAAGAAAAAUUGAAAGCACAGUGGCAUUAAAGUGGCAUUUGUAAGUGAAUAAAAAUAAAGAUAAAUGUUAAAAAUUUCCGAUGGCUUAAUUGGAACCCUGGGCCUCUAGUGUUGAAGCUCUACAUGCUAACCACUGCACCAUAGGUGCAUGCCUAAUCACGCAGAAUAUUAAACACCUUUAAGGAUCACACGCACAAGCAGGCGUGCUUGACACUUGGCAGGUUUUGAAAAAUGCCAACAGUUUCAUGAUGGAUUUCCUACAUACAAGCCAGUGACACGUUAACACACUUGGCAUGUUUUCACAAUGCUGACAGUUUGCCACUGUUCUCAUCUCGUGCAUACAUAUGUCAUCAAACGUGUGAGGCCUGCACCACCACUGGCAACGCUAUUGAUCACUCUUGUAUGUAGCCUAGAGUUGCUCGAACCAGACGGUACCCUGUACCUCGGCGUAAUGCUAACGUGUUUCUCUCACAUUUACCUCUAAACUGAUGCUGACCUUCCUAAUCAGAACUUUAUUAUUUAGCCUCAUGCUACAUUUGACAUUGCACAUUUCUAUUUAGGUGAGACAUUUAUUUGAUGAGCCACCGCACCCUUUUGUACAGCGACUUAGUGUAGGUGGGCUUUUAAUUAUGACUCAUGCAAACGUAACAAGAAUGUUGGAAAGAAAAGGAGGUAUUUCCUGCAUCACAUUGUUGUGGUCAGCACUUUCGUAUGAACAAGGUGCUGCUAUUGAAUAGUAUAUCAUCCAUUGAAUUGUCAUGUUAGGCCAAAGUUGCAUUUAAAAAGGUUUGGAUGUGCGAGAAUGACAUGCAUUAUCUACCAAAAGAGCAUUGACACUUGUUACGUGCGAGCAAGCAGUCAUGAUAAUGCGCAAGUUAACAUUUGCCAUUGUAAAUAUAGCUAGAUUUCACUGUGCCCUUUCCUUUUCCGCUGUUUUUUUUUUUCUUUUUUCAGGUUAUGACCCUUCUUGGAGUUUGACUACACACUUUGUGUUGCACACGUUAUAAUAGUACUUGUAGUGAAGUCGGCACUUGCCUUCAGCAAAGCCAUUUGAAUAGUGUCAAAGAUUUUCAAAAAAUUUUUAUGCAUAGAGAAAUUUGCUCCGUUGUCAUCAUUGUUUUUAUGACUUGAAAUGAGGCACUAAAAUGGAUUACUAUUGGUUUAGUAUAGCAAGCUAGUCCUUGGAAAACUUUUCUUUUAUUAAUAAACAUGUUUAUUAUUCAGAGAGAAAACUGCAGUCAAAGUUUUGCAUUUUUUUAAUUUUGUGUCAAAACCCUAUCAAUAUGUCAAUGUAACAUUGUGUACUUCAAAGCGUGUUUUCAUAUUUUAGCUCAAUAAAGGUUUCUGAAACUUGCCAUACUAAUUUCUGGCUUCUUUAGAACAGAAUGUAAUAAAUUACUGAUAAUAAACUCCUUAGCAGGCACCGGUCAAAUUUAUAAAGUCAGGACAAUCUGGUGUGUAAAGUUCAUGCUGUUGUCAACACCUGUAUUUUCUUCAUGCGACUUUUUCAGGUUACCACUCAUAUUCUUGCAGCAAGAGUGGUGCUUUUCCUAUUGUGGAAUGGUUAUGUACUAAGUCAAUUUUCACUUAAGUGUCUCUGAAAGGAGGCCUUCGUCCCUGCUACGUAUUUCUGCUGCUGUCAGUAUGCUUGUUUGUUUGUUUGUUUGUUUGCUUUUUUAUCUCAUGUUCACUAUGUGUGAUUCACAGGAAAUGCAGGUGUGGUCAACCAAGCCUUACCCAAGCAAGAGUUUCCAUUUUACAGCGUCCCUUCCCUCAACUACUUCUUGACCGGUGCCAACAACGGGCAGUCCCCGUCCUCGUCGACAAACCUGAAUUCCACUCCUCUCACAGACGUCCUAGUUGUGGGUACACGACAGGUGCCAACGACUCCGGCACAGCCACCAAAGGAAUUUCCUUGCACCAUCUGCGGUCGAAAGUUCAGCCUCAAGUGCAAUCUGAACCGACACCAUCUGGUGCACUCAGGUGUGCGCAAUUACGGCUGCGAGGUGUGCGGACAGCGAUUUGUGUUGCGACAGCACCUCAAGAAGCACCUCGAGAGACACGCCAAGGAGUGCUCGUGAGCACCUUUUUGCCUGCUCUCUCGCGUAGUGCUUCACAGUCGAGCCAUGCCUUUGUACUCCUCUGCUCUUCUUUGCCCUUGAACUACUCUCAGAUUGUCUUGGGGCAUGGAAUGUGUCUGUUUUUUAACUAUGAUCACUUGCUUUUUAAAAUCCGCAAUCUGAAACUUAUUGAUUAAAUGCAUGGUGUUCCACAGUCACUGUUUAGUCAGAGAUGUAAUGCCAGCGCGUAUUGCCUGAUCGGCAAGAAAUCAAGUGAAACCAACUGUUAGGUACUUUUGCUUCCUCCUUGCUGUCUUUUGAACUGUUGUUACCUUCUUUUCGGUGUAAAUGCAGUUUCUUAUUUCACUUGAUACCAUCUUUUGAGCAACUAUUUGGAAUUUUCUAUCUGGUUGUGCGUAAUAUGCAUGGUAAUUGUCUUCUUCUCAGUGGAUAAGAAGGUACAUUAGAAAUAUGCUGGCUAGCCUUCUUGUCACACUUCCAAAAGGUGCUCUGGAAUCUUGCUAUUUUCUUUUUACACGUUAUAACUUUCCGUUAAGUUUGUAUUGGUGUACAGGAACUGCCCACGGCGGACAGAGCAUUGAACUGUAGUGCUGUGCAGCCAUCGAGAUGGAUACAAUGUUGGCACCUCAUGUGCGAUUUAUAAUUACAAAAGCUAACAUUGUCCCUGCUGGUUUCAAUAGCAACUGCUUCGGUCCCCCCCCCCCCUCGCUUCCCCCCCUCUGGUUUUGAAGACUAGUGGCAUCAGCGUGCUGCAAUGUGAUAAGCCAGCAUGACCGCAGUGACCAUAGUAGUAGCGGAUUCUACACAGUGACUACACAAACUCAUCAAAGGCAAUCUCACAGGCACUCUUUGUUCAUGCGAGCGGCAACCAAUGUGUGUGCUUGCGCAUGUCAUUGCUGCUGUACAGUAGCCAAAGGUGCAAUGUUCACCAAAGAUUUUCUUUUUCAUCUCACUUUCCAUCUCCACCGACAUCUCACCACUAUCUUCCAUUUCUUAAUAAACCUUUAGGUUUGUGAUUGCUUCUUAAAACGAGUUACUAGAACAUGGGUUAACAAAUGCACACGGAAGUUUAAGCAGGCCACUUGCCUUAUUUGGGCCACAUGAAUUUAUCUGAAUGACCCAGUGAAACUAAUUGCAAUUAAAGGAUUAGCCAGCGUUUCAGAAAGUUAAUCAGUUGGCCAACAACAAGUUUUAAAUGACAGCAGAGUGAGGCGUAAUGCUAGUAGCGCUAAAAAGAAACGUUAAAAAGAGAUUGGCUAACAUGACGGCCUUGUGCUUUCAGUGGAUGAAAUUCUCAAAUCAAACUAAUGUAGAUUUUGACGUUUUAAGAUGAAGCCACAUGCUAUUACCUAAAUAUUUCAUUCCUCUUUUGCCAUUGCUUCGUGUUUUCUUAAGUUUCCAUGUGCAGUGUUUGUGAGAUUUUGUUCUUCGUGAUGCACCUCGGCAAUGUUUUAUUUUUCAUUGUUUAUGCUAUCAUGAGCUCCCGAACAGACAGUGUGAAUAAAUUUGUGUCACACCUACCACGUAAAGUACCGAAGUACUGCUAAGAGGAUUCGCAGAUUCGAAAAUGAGGACACCACAGAUAGUAGUUGUUAAUUUGGAUGGCUUAGCACUGUGCACACAUUGUCCAUGUUUCUAUACACAGUGGUAUCCCGAGUUCACCAGACAUGAGCAUUGAAAACCUCUAAGAUUGAAUUCUUACAUCAGUUACGCAUUUAUUAAUGCAUUCAAAAAUAGUGUUACAUGUUGUAGACUUCUUUUUUUUUUACUGCUAUAUUUAUUCAGUAGGCAGCAUUGCCCACACACCUUAUUUCUUCCAGCUAUCUGCAGAUAAAUAAAAAGACAGUUUUAUAUUAAUUCAGCGUGGGAGCACAGCAUUUUACACUAAUAACUUUAAAUCUGCGGCUGGGAAUAUGCAUUUACACAUAUUCUGAAGCCUAUAUGUAUUAGACUUUUACUCUCAUUUAGCAUCCAAGCUUCACUCUGUCCUUGUACAGGUCUGGAGAUUACUUCGAGCCAGAAGUUAUGAACCAGCACUCAAAGCACAAAUCUGGCAAAGCUUUACUCAAUCAAAAUGCAUAUUGAAGGAGUGGCCCUAUUUGUAUGUCGACCAACUGCGCAGUGGUAAAUGCAAGCUUGGAUCAUCCUUUCUUUUGUGUGCAAGCCAGAAUAAUGACAGCCUAGUACAUUUCUUUUGCUUGAGUACGAGUGUAAUAUGAACUGCACUCGCCAACAACUUGACAAUACGGUACAAGUUGCACGCACAAGACUUGGCUGCAUCUUCCCUUUGUGCCUUCAUACUCCGAAACAUAGUUCCUGAUUAAUGGCUGCUAAUAUUUAAACAAGCUCACUUCCAUUAUUAUCAGCUGACUCACCUAUACAAAUUCUUUUCCGAGAUGCACGGCAGUAUUGUCGGGCCAAUCACAGGUUCGAUAAUAUUGCAAAUGUUUGCCUCUCCUAGUGCGUCCCUCACCACAAUAGAGCAUUGUCGGCGCAUUGCCACAAUAUGUUUCAUGCUGUACGUUUCAUUACAGCGCCACGUUAUUGAGAAACAAUGCUGUGCUUCCGCACUCUUUUAGGUGACUUUGACUCUCCUGAUGCGAUUCCAGAUGUGUUUUCUUGUCACGCCCAAUUCACCCAUCUUAAGUGUGCUGUUAUUUUGAGCAGCUUAAAACUAGUUUUUUUAUGUUGAACAUGUGUGUGUCACCUGCAUACGUUAUCGGCAGUUGCGCCGCCUACCUGUCAUGUACACCUGGCCUUUCAGUUUCACUUGCAUGAUCUUGUACCUUGUAUAAACAAAUGGCUCAUUCAUGAAGUCAAAAAGAAGUUGGAACAGCAUGCUGCCUCUUCUAGUUGCUGUGCAAUAUUGCUUCUUACUCUAUACUUGUUUUCAGCAAGCUUUUACGAUUUAAGUGACCAGCGUAGACAAAGACGAGGGCCGUAGACAAAAUUAGCCUUGUUCCUUAUUUCAGAGUAUUCAGGCGAAGCUUCUUGUUAACAUAUGUUUUUAUGCAACUUCCACAUCUCUGAACAAAGCAAGGGGAAUGCAUCAAGGGCUUGUUGAUUUGUUAUUACUCAACCUAAUGAAACCAAGAAACAAGGACAAUACUUGUAGUUUUUCAACUGUAGUGUAGUAAUUACGAUAUACCUGUAAAGGAAUUAAAGUGGACGAAAAACACAACUUGCCGCCAGUAGGACCACCACCAGUAGGAACUGCAACCUUCGAACAAUAUGUUCGAUACUCUAUUAAUUGAGCUACAGUGGUAGUCAUUCCCCCGUCCACAUUAUUGGCUAUUUCUGCACGUGUUAUCCUGGGAGUGUUAGCCAGUACUGCUCGUAGCCAUGACGGCAUGCGUGGAGCACUAUUUUUCUGCUUGCUGGCGUCACAUAGCACAUUAACGAAGCUGUAUAUUUCUAUCCUGAAACGGUUUCGUCUCCGUGGGCUAAAAACAAAACGCCAAGCCCCUAAACCACCAACAGACACUCGCGCUCGCAUGCUCCUCUGCUAGCAGAUGCAUACGUUCCUCUCGUUUUCACCUCGGACGCCGAGGAAGGGCAUUCGGAUAGAUGGACAGACGAGCCUAACGAACGCGUUCGCUGUAGACUUGUUCACAACUGCAACGCCACAUCUAAAUUCAACCUCUGGGUUAAACCACCCUUUAACAAUUGCAGGCAAACGGCAUAUCUUUCUUUGCAAUCAGACAUACAGCAUAGAGCUCAGUAUUUGUUUCAAUAAAUAAAACCACAAAACAAGCAUCAAAACCGCAUGCUGGAUGCUAAGGCGCCUAAACAAUGGGAACACCCUUCCACGCGUUCCCAGUAAAGAUUAGGUUGCAGCUGCUUUGCACUUCACACGAGGGCUUAGAAUGACGUCAAACAACCCUUCCUUCCCCCCGCUUGUGUUUCCCGCUUUCAUAUAUAAAGGGAGACCCGUCUAGCAACUGCCAUGGGUUGGCCACUGAAAUUAAAGGCACCAGAAGAACAGCUGGAAUACAAUGCUGUACGAAAGGAAGAAUUCAUCUUGCUGAAAAUGGUCGCGGAACCAAUCACAGUCUACCACAGUGACCACAAAGCGAUUACGUAUCACUACCAUUACUCUAAAGUAAUAAUAAAGCAUACCCCCCCCCACUCCCCCCCAUCAGCAUGUGUGGUGUUUGAUACAGCCUUGCUGGACAUUCACGUUCGCAGGACGAAAUGGUGGCCAAUUUUUCGACAAGCUGGCAGCUGACCAAUAAACUCGCGUGCUGUCCUAAGGGUGACCCUCGCUAUGGGGAAAAAAAAAAACAGGAAUGGUUCAUGUGAUCACGUUAUCCUAAGGUUGUAGGUUUGGUCCCCACGGGGGCAACUUGUUUUUCAGUCCACUUUAAUUCCUUUCAAUUUAUGUCUUAAUUACUACACUUCAGUUAAUAAACUGGAAAUGUUGUCGCCCAUGCCUGCCUUGGCCUCACUGUCUCUUGGUUCCACAUCUCUGCAUCAGAUUUAGAAAUGAUAGACCUGCUGUGCAAUGCAUGCAGUUGUGGAAAUUGAAAGUAACGUUGGAAGCCAACGAAUGGAAACACAGUGUGGCGUCAAUGUUUUAACAAGCAGGAAUAGGUUGACUCAGACAGGCAGGCCGACGUUUCGAUAGGCGGACCUAUCUGUCAAAGGCACCUGGUCAUCCUUGGCGUGUCAAAGCGGGCUAGUUGUUGACAUGUCACAUGGUGUUGCACGAAUCUCUGCUCUUUGAAAAGAAGCCUAUCACAGGUUUGAAAACUAUGGCGCAUACAGCAUCCCCUUGGCGUUCCCUGCCAUGCAGCGACGUUCGACACAUUGUUAGGCCGACAAGCUGCCUCAUUGCCAUCAUCUUUAUACUGUCGUGGCCGUUCAUUAACGUACAACAAAAUUUGCGUAGGAUGUCAUGAGCGCAUGAAGGCCUUGGAUGACAGGUAACAACGUGAAAAUCUUGACACGCAUGUCUUGUAAAUAUGAUCUAGGUGCCUGAGUCUGUGUUCUCAUGACCAUUUGGUUAGCUUCAUAUAUGCCACAAUUUGCAUAGCACAAUAUGAAUGUAUGAGUAACGCGACUGGCAUGUCGGGACACAAAUAUUGUUAGUUGCUUAUUGUGUACGCCGCCUGCUUCACAUAACAUGAUUCUCAUGGUGCGAGCGAACCAGCAUCUCGGAGGCGUUUUAAUGUUGAGCAUGUGGAGCAUCCCCUCUGCGUUUCCUGCCGCGCUGUGGCACUCAGUGUAUUGUUUGCCCGGCACUCCACAUCGCAAGUGGAAACAGAAAGCGGACACUUUAUUUUGUGCAUCUCGGCAGUAGCUUUCAAACUGACAAAAAGAAAUAUGUGUUGAUCUCGACGGUGCAAGACUAACCUGCCUUUCACGUACGUACGAUGCUCGCUUUUACAGCUUGCAUCUCGAAUGAUGCUACUACAAGUGCAUCUUGCUUGCCUGGUUUAAAGGGGUCAUGAAGCACUCCUUGGGCUUGUUGAAAAAACACAUCCUGCGGAAAGCUGACACGGCUAUGAACUGCUCUGCCAAAUAUUAGUCGUGCGCACCGCAUAAAGGCCACAAGCGGAGCGCGAAGUUGCCGUUUCCUCAGGUGCCCUCUUUUCAAACAGAGGCCGGUUCUCACUCUCGUUCGGUGGGCGGGGCGUCUGCACGUUGACGUCACGGAUCUGCCAGUUUACGUCGCAAGAGACAUAGCAUGCUUAUUGGCCGAUAGCUGAUGUAAAUCGAGAGCGGCGUUCCGAUCAGAUGCGCUCCUUGCCGCGGGGUGCCGCCUCUUGCCGGCGCCACACUCCUCAGUACACGGUGGCCGCACUCGCGCAAGCGAAUCACAGUGGGAGAGCUGAUCGCGUUUCAUGACGCGCGCUGACGUAACUUCUUUCCCCCGUGCCAUCCCUCCCUGUCUAGCUUCCAGUGCGCUCGUCGGCACGAGAAAAGAGAGAAAGCGCUGGGAGCGUGCGCCAAACCCCCUGUAACUCCGCUGAUUCUUGACGGAUUCGAGAAAUUUUUGCGGCAAUCGAUUCGGGAGGCAGUAAACUCCGAUACUGAGGUCAUUAGAUCAUUACUUGGAAAAGUGGUUCAUGACCCCUUUAAGUCUUCUAGUUGUUGUAACAAGGAUGGACGCAGGGCUUGCAUUUUAUCCUCCAUUUCGUGUGCAGUUCAAGCAAAACUAAUCGUAGGGCUUAUUUCUAUGUGUUUCAGAGUGUUUUUAUGUAAUUUAUAAAACAUUUUCCACUACAUAAUUUCACAAAUAUGGUGAAAGAAAUGCCUUACAAAUGUCUGUGUGCAGUCUCUGUGCUAAUAUAUUUCAAGCAGACACGCUGCACAGUGGUAUAGAUGUUCUGUAUUUUUUUUUUCAUUUUAUGAGUAAGUGAACAAGGAACGGAAAUCUCUUUCACAAGCUUACCAACAUUCUGUCACUGUGCAUUAUUUCAGUGUAUACCCACAAGCACUGUUAUGUUGACCUUUACUUGAGUCAUUUGCAUGGCGCUAGCUAUACAAGGUCAGUGCCAUACGCUGGGGCCAUGUGCUAGGCCGUGCAUCAAGUUGUCGGCUACCGCAGCUACUUUUGGAAGAUUUUAAGGAACAGUUUUGCCAAGAGAUUUCUCUGGCUGCAUUUAAUGCUGCCAGUGCCUGUGAGCUAUGUGCAGCAGUGAUUUGCAUAGUAUGGUGUCUGUAAUAUACGUGUCAGAUCAAUAAAAUAAUG